rnacentral:rRNA from 1 species
CCUACGGGGUGCAGCAGUGGGGAAUAUUGGGCAAUGGGCGCAAGCCUGACCCAGCAACGCCGCGUGAAGGAAGAAGGCUUUCGGGUUGUAAACUUCUUUUCUGAGGGACGAAGAAAGUGACGGUACCUCAGGAAUAAGCCACGGCUAACUACGUGCCAGCAGCGGCGGUAAUACGUAGGUGGCCAGCGUUAUCCGGAUUUAUGGGGUGUAAAGGGCUUGUAGGCGGGAAAGCAAGUCAGAUGUGAAAACUCAGGGCUCAACCCGGAGCCUGCAUUUGAAACUGGUAUGCUUGAGUGCUGGAGAGGCAAAGGGAAUUCCGGGUGUAGCGGUGAAAUGCGUAGAUAUACGGAGGAACACCAGUGGCGAAGGCGGAUUGCUGGACAGUAACUGACGCUGAGGCGCGAAAGCGUGGGUAGCAAACGGGAUUAGAUACCCUAGUAGUC